UAUCUUUUUUUUUUUUUUUAAUUGUGUUUUAGGUGAAAGUUUACAGUGCAAAUUAGUUUGUCAUUCAAAACUUUAUACACCAAUUGUUUUGUAACACUGGUUGCAAUCCCUGCAAUAUGUCUGUACUUUCCCCCUUUCAACCCCUGGCUCCCUAUGUCCAUUUGUCCAGUUUUCCUGUCCCGUCCUGCCUUCUUGUCUUUACUUUUGGGCAGAUGUUGCCCAUUCGGUCUCAUAUACUUGAUUAAACUAAGAAGCACAUUCUUCACUUGUGUUAUUUUUUGUUUUAUAGGCCUGUCUAAUCUUUGGCUGAAAGGUAGACUUUGGGAGUGGCUUCAGUUCUGAAUUAGCAGGGUGUCUGGGGGGGUGUCUCUCUCACUUUGAAUCCUGCAUUUGGUUUGUGAUCAUCUGACCUCUGGUUCUUGGGAUUUCAGCCAGCAGCCUGCCAUCUGACCUGCCGAUUCUGGGAUUUGCCAGCUUCCACAACCCCUGUGGGCUGGCCGCCUAUCAUCUGACAAGAUUCACCAGCUUCCGCAGCCUUGUGAGCCAGCAGCCUGUGGUCUGACCUGUUGGUUUGGGUUCAUCAACCCCUGCAGCCGUGUGGGUUGGGAGAAGCCUAAGUCUGACCCACACAGUUGGGACUUGACAGCCUCCACAGCCGCAUGAUCUAUUUCCUUGAUACAGUUUGAAAGUGCUUUGAGACAUUGCAGCAAAUUAUGGAACCCAAAGAUGGAAGGGAGAGUACUGAGGGGAGGGGGAGUAGAUGAGGUUAGAGUUGAUAGAUGGGUACAGCAACCUGGAAAUGUUGGACAUUUGGGACACCUUUAACCUCUGCCUCAUUGAACCAGCUUUGUGCUGAUCCUUAUCAAAGAAAUUAUUCAUUUGAUACCUAACCUCCCCAGGAACUGAAACUUAACGCCAACCAAUUGACUCUCCCAGAAACAGAAACCUAAUUAGAAUUUGCCUCCUCAGUUUAAACUGGUUCAAAAUUUCUCCUUGAUCCCAAAUAAGGAAAGAAAAUAUCCACAAGCCUAUCUGGAAUUUGCCCAGUAUAGCUUUCGUGUUCCUUUGGGUCUGUGUUUACCACAGCUUUGCACUUGCUUUGGAACUUUUGUCUAACUCCUAGGCCAGAUGUUCCCCGAUUCAUGAAUUGAAAAGGAAAGUUCAUAUACAAAAUUAAUAUUGUGGAAAUUUUAAUUUUUAACAAAUAUGAGGAAUAAUGUGGAAACCCUGGUGGCGCAGUUGUUAAGUGCUAUGGCUGCUAACCAAAAGGUCAGCAGUUCAAAUCCACCAGGUGCUCCUUGGAAACCGUAUGGGGCAGUUCUCUGUCCUAUAGAUAGGGUCGUUAUGAGCUGGAAUUGACUCAAUGGCAGCUGGUUUUGUUUUUUUGGUUUAUGAGAAAUAAUAAUAAUAUAGUGAAACCUGUAAGAGCCGGAACUCGAUGUGACUGCCUUGUUUUUCAGGGUCUCCCAAGAUUCCUGCCUUUGCCAGGGAGCAGUCACCGUUUUUCUAAUUGUUCUCUCUUUAGUGGAAAAUAUUUUACUUUUCUUCUCUGACAGGUUUCCACCUUCCAUGGGUUCUGGCUUUUGUAGGUUUUACUGUAAGAACAACAAUACAGUAAAUACAUUGAAUGCUUUCUAUGUUCCCGUCAUGGAUUGACUGUGUCCCCGGAAAACGUGUGUCAACUUGGCUAGGCCGCGAUUCCCAGUAUUGUGUGGUUGUCCACCAUUUGUGAUCUGAUGUGAUUUUCCUCUGUGCUAUAAAUCCUAAUCUCUGCCUGUGGUUAAUGAGGCAAGAUUAGGUUAUGUUAAAAAGGGUGGGAUACAACACCCUUACUCAGGUCACAGGCCUGAUCUGAUGUAAGAGGAGUUUCCCUGGGGUGUGGCCGGUAUCAGGUUUUAUCUUACAAGAGAUUCAAGGAGAGAGAAGUGAGAGUAAAGAGAGAGGGACCUCAUGCCACGAAGAAAGAAGCUCCAGGAGCAGAGCACAUCCUUUGGACCUGGGGUCCCUGUGCUGAGAAGCUCCUAGACCAGGGGAAGAUUGAUGAAAAGGGCCUUCCUCCAGAGCUGACAGAGAGAGAAAGCCUUCCCCUAGACCUGGCGCCCUGAAUUUGGACUUUUAACCUCCUAAACUGUGAGAGAAUAAAUUUCUGUUUCUGCAACUUCUGUUAUAGAAGCACUAGGUAACUCUCCCAGAUAACGUUACCCAUAUUAACUCACACUUCACAGCUCUCCUAACAGAUAUAGUUUUUCCAUGUUACAGAUGAGGAAACAGAGACACCGAAAGGUUAAGUGAUUGGCUUAAGUUCACCAUUCUGGUAAAUUGCAGAAGUGCAAUUUGAACCCAGGAAAUCUACCUCCAGAAAAUAUAUCCUCAGCCACUUGUUCUGUACUGUCUUGUUAUGCCCCAGCUGGGCACUUAUUCUGGAUCUUUAAUCAGGAGUACUAUACUGCUUCUUUCUUUUCAUUAUUCUUUGUUGGGAAGAAAAUACAAAGGUGAAGUGAAUUUUGGUAAACUUAUACUUUUUCUGAACAUAAUGGCAAAAGCUUGGGCGGGUUUUCAGGUAAGGAAAUAUUGAGGCAUUUGGUUUUCUGGACUUCAAUUAAGAGCUGGAUCAAAACACUAGUGGGUUACUUCAUACCUUAUUUUUUAAUGGGCUUAUGGUAUAACUUUGGAGGGAAUGACUACAUUCCUUGCAAAAAAAAAAAUUUGUUUUUUUGUUUUUACAGACCAGGACUAUUCUUUAGAAAUACGUAUCUAUUGUGAAAAACGUGUGUAGCUGUAUCUUUUCUCUGCAGAUGUUUUUCAGUCAGCUGCCCAGGACGCAUUUGAGUGGCAUGGUUUCCAUUUUCUGCCUUUUUCCAUGUCGCACAAUAGAUAAAAACAGUUAAAAAUUAAAAUUUCCCCAACAUUAAAUUUGUUUACAAACUCAUGAGCUUUAUUUUUCAAUUCAUGAGUUGGGGAACAGCUGCUCUGGAAGUCUGACAAGAGCUCGGAAGCGCACUGCAAACUCUAAAGGCUUUCGUAAGCUCAGACCCACAGGAACACGGAAGCUAUACUGGACAAAUUUCGGAUUGGCCUGCAGGCAUUUUCUUUCCUUAUUUGGGAUCAAGGGGGAAAUUUUGAACUCGGUUAAACUGAGUAAAAAAAAAAAAAUAAUUAGCUAGCUUAGAUUUCCAUUUCUGUGAGGGUCAACUGAUUAACUUAGGUUUCGGCUGCUGGGGUGGGCAGGUGUUUAUAGGAAACAAAUCUGAUUAGGUUUCGAUUUGUUGUCCUGGGGUUUAGGAUAAGUGACUCCAUCUUGGGUCUAGUAUUGUUAGAUUAAGAUUAACAUAAUCCAACAUCUGCAUCCACGCUUGCAGCUGUAGGAGGGUUCAGUGAGGGAAAAAGAAUCCAUGAGCACAUGUAUUCAACUGGUGAUCCCUGAAGUCAGAGAGUCCUAGUAUUUCAUCCUAUCUGGAAAGGGACAGGACUUGGCCUCCCCUAGAGCAGUAAGCCUGUGUGUAUUGGGAAAAAAGGAGUCUCCCAGAGAACUUCCCAGGGAUUGGUGUAAAGAUGAAACAGAAAAUCGGAAUGAAAUAACAGAGCAUCUGGUUCUAGUCUCUCAUUACAGUUUGUCUUGAAAUUUAAUGUUGCUGGGAGAGGUGAGUACGACUCUGCUUGCUUUACUUAAGCCUCAUAAAAAGUGGUUACGGCCGUGAGUGAUGCUGGCUUUGUCUCAUUCUUUCCUUUAUUCUUCCUAUUGCAUCAUCCUGAGCCACAAUCCGCUCUUGGUGUCCCUCCCAAAAUCUCAAACAACUCAGUAACAUUUGUAUGCAUUGUGACUCCAAUUAGAGGUUAUUUAGAAAUUGGAAAUGAAUCCACAUGUCUACAUCUCCAGAGAGUUUAUUUUAUUCUCCAAAGGGCCGGGGCUGUAGAAUAUGCUUUGUUUUACUGAGUAGACUAGUUAUUGAUCUGCUUUCAAAAUUCUGGGUUUCAGAAAUAUUCUGUUCUAGAAGGCUUUCCUUGAAAAAUCGCAGACUUAAGCAAGACAUAUUUAGCCUAAAAUUCCUUCUAAAGCUGAACAUUUGCCUUCAUGGCCCUAUUUCCCCCCCCCCCCCCGCCAAGUUUAUUUGAAUGGAGAUGAUAAUUACCUGUAUUUAAACAGUGAUCCAAGAACACAAAAUCUUUUUACUUGCAAAAGACGUUCAUAAUUUUGAAAAGGAAUAGGGCACUGGGAAAAACAGCUCCUUGAGAUCAUUUGCAUAUGAAAAAGGGAACAAGCGUAGCUUGAAAAGACCUCUCAUUAAAUUUGAAGGGCAGAAAUGGGGGAAUUUCUCAAAUGUUGAGUCACAAUAAGACUGACUAAGAUUUGCCUUUCUUAUUUACCCACCCAGCUGACUCGAGACCAGCCCUGUGCGCGCACGGCCCCUGCAAAGCGCUGCUCUUCUAAUCGGGGGCGCGCCUGGCUCCCCCCGCCUCCGAGGUGCCGUUUCUUCCUAGCAGUCGGCCUGCAGCUGCACCGGGUGGCUCUCCUUCGUCCAGGAUGCGUUGGCAUUUUCUCUUAUCAAAUGGCCAAGUCGCCGAGUGGGGGCCCCCACUCUUUUCGGGCCUUGUUAUUCCUCUUUGUGCCGGUCCCUGACAUCUCGAUGGCGCUGACUCGCCCGUUAAGAUUUUGCGGUGCCUCUUGGGUUCACCCAAGCCCUCGGGCGAUCAACGGAUGUUUCUAAGAGAGUCAAGUCCGUUCUCAGAUGAACCGACUUGCGGUUCCAGGGCAUCUGGGUCGGCGCGUCGCGGGACCAUUUGCCUUGAGCGCCACAGCCUGGCCAAAACGGGAACGUUCGCCAUUGGGCUUUGAGUAUCAUCUGGGGGAAAACGCCAGAGGGAAGGAAGAAACUUGGAUCUGUUUAAGAAAUAUCUGGCAGAAUUCCACCUACAAUGAAGGAACCGUUCAGAAGCCCUUGUUAGUUGCCUUGAGCUGGCUCUGACUCAUAACAACCUUGUGUAUAACAGAAUGAAACGUUGCCCAGUCCUGCACCAGCUUCAUGAUCGUUGGGACUGGUCCCACCUGAUAACAUGUCCAAAGUACGUGAGAUGAACUCUUGCCAUCCUCAUCUCUAAGGAGCAUUUUGGCUGUACUUCUUCCAUGACAGAUUUGUUCAUUCUUCUAGCAGUCCAUGGUAUGUAUAUUCAAUAGGAUCAUGCUGUGCUAUUUUGCUUUCUAUAUUCAACUGUACAUUGUGAACAUCUUGUCACGUCACUAAUGGUUUCCAAAAUACCAUUUUAACCAGUGCGUAAUAUUCCAUUUAUGAGUAUAUUGGUUAUUCCUAUUUUAUUAGUUACUUUUGUAUGUCACUAAAUAUUCUUCUAGAGCAUCAGUUUUCCCCCCUCUAUAAAUGUACCAUGGUUUAUUUACUUCACCCCAUUCCCAUAUUGUUGAACAUUAGGGUGUUUUAAAUUUUUAACUAUUGUAAACAAAGCAAAGAGGAACCUUUGAGAAUAUCUACAGAUUUUUCUUUAAUAUUAAACUUUCUAAAAAGGCCACAGUAUAUGCAUGGUCUUAAGGCCACUGAUACAAAUUGCCAACUUGCCCUCCAGAAAGUUGGUACCAACUUGUAGUCUUGUAGGGAAUAUAUGUAUGACAGUGUCUCAUUCCCCGCGUUUUCAUGAACAUCAAGACUUAGAUUUUACCUUUACCAGAUGGAUGAAUCAAACUGUAUUCCAUGAUUGCUCUAAAUUUCAUUUCUUUCAAUGCAGUGAAUGAAGUUGAACAUUUUUUUUGGUAUGCUGUUUGGCAACUUUUCUUUUUUGUGUGUGAAUUUUUUUUGCACAAUUCUGCCCAUGUUUAUAUAGAAUUAUCUGUCUUUUGCUUUAACAAAGUUUAAUAAGAACUCCUUAAGUAGAAGGGAUGUUAAGUGUUUGUCAUAUCUAUUGCAAAUACAUUUUAAUCAGUUACUUUCAAUUUAGUUCAUAUUUUUUAAUGAAAAGAAGCUUCAACAACUCCGAAGUUAAAUCUAUAUAAUUAUUUCUUUAUAGUUUCUGCCUUUGACAUCAUUGUUUUUUCAUUGAUGUCUAAGAUAAUUUUGUAAAUCCUUUUUCUUGUUACCAAUAUUUACUACCACUUGUCAUUUGUUUUUAAACCAUAAAAUAUUUUUUGACUUUUAUGGUUUGUGCUUUUGGCAUCAUUAGUGGUUUUUUUUUUUUAAAUAGAUUUCUAAGAUAAUUUUAUAAAUCCUCUUUCUUGUUGUUACAGAUAUUCCCCCCAAUUGUCAUUUGCUUUUAAGCCAUAAAGUGGUUUUUGACUUAGAGUAUUUAAUAUUAUUAUUCAAAUCUGUUGAUAAAUUUCUCUACGAUCAUUUUCUAUGUGUUUUAUGCUUAGAGAUUCUUUCCUUGGGUGAAGAUCAAUGAAGGGCUCACCUACAACUAGCAGUUGGCUUCAGUGCCUGGACUGCCGGGGCUGAGUCCCAGCUCUGCUAUUACCAUGUGACAAGCAUCUCUGACACUCACUCUCCUUGUCUGUAAAAUGGCAUGAUGGGUGGAUUAAAUGAGGUGAUGGGUGGCUGAAAGCGAAAAAGCGUGUUUGUCUUUUGGCUUGAUUGAAAAAGUGAAAAUGGAACCAAUUAAGCCACCCAAUUCAUCUCUUGAAACUGGUUACAAGUGAUUGUGCUAUGAUUCUCACCUGGAUAGAAAGGAGUGGAAGGAAGCUUGGAGAAGAGGAGGAGCGAGGGGACAAGGACCACUCUGUACUAUUCCAUUGCUGUGAAACUUGGGCCAAGUCAUUUAAGUAAGGUGGGAGUUUCUCUCCUUAUUUCUAUAAUGGGAAUAAUAAUGUGCUCCUUCUCUCCCACCUGGUUCUUAACCCUUGUUGUCCUUCAGAACCUCCUAGGGUUGUUUUUAAAAAGCACCAUCUGAAGCCUACCCAGACCUACUAAGUCAGGGGCUCUGUAUUUUGAACAAUUUCUGUAAGUGAUUGUGUUGAAAAUAACAGAGGUCAAGCUUAGGAUCCCUUCUAUAUUUAAGGCCCCUACUUCUCUGCAUGAUCCAUUUGUGUAUAAGAUGAGGGUUGAGGCAGAUGAAAGGCCCUCCUACUUUUUGUAUCUGCCAUGGUCUCUUGGGUUUCUAUCUUGAAAGCUGAGGCCCUAAUCCUGUUCCAUGAAACACUCUGGCUGGCUCAUCCUUACAAAUCUUCAACAAUUCUGUGAGAAAUAGUGCUGAUAGAUAUGAGGCUGGGGGAGAGUGUGUAUGAACUUAGACUUCAGAGUGAGACGCAGAGGGGUGGCAGGGGAGGACUCACAGAAGAGGGUGCUUGACCCUACCAACGUCUGUUGGAUUGGCCUGUGCUGUCAACUCCAGCCCAAUGAGCAGGGGUCUGGAAGGUUCGUGGGGAACUGGUGAAGGUUGUCCCAGGUGCCCUGGGUAGCCUGGUCUUUCUUUCCUCCCACACCAGGCUCAGGGCCCCGAGAACCAGAUAAACAGCCCUGCUGUCCUUUUUUUUCAGCAGUGUGGCCAUGGGUGAGAUCUGUUAGCCUCAGUUUCUUCAUCUGUAAAUGGGAGAUAAUAAAGCCAGACCGGUCUGCCCCAUGGGGUUACUGAGGCUCCAGUGAAACAGGAUAAGUGUGUGAAAUGGCUUUAACAAAUGUAAAGCUCAUCAGAAGAAGCUCUUUUCUCUACUUCCUGACAUGGGUCCUCUUUGUCCUUCAACUCAUUCCCCUUGGCCCCAUUAGACACUUUAGUUCCAUUAAUGAUAGAUGAUGGAUUUGUAAAUGAUGGAUGAGAAUAUAAAAAUUUUAUCCCAUCAGAUUCCACCUCCAGGAAGAAUUUAGGGACCAGGGGCCUUCUUGUGAUCCAUGGAAACCUCAGGCACUCCAAACGUGGGACUCUUUGCCUAUUCCUGCAGACCAACUUAGCUCAUGACAUUACAAUUUUUUUCCUAGUUUUGCAUAGCUACGAUUUAGGAGAUUAUUUUUAACUGUAUCAACUGGCAAAUCUUAGGAAUCGUAGACUUUCCUUGUAUUCAGUCAGAAAAAAUGAACAAACAAAAACAAAACAGUUGCUGUCAAGUAAACUUGGACUCAUGGUGACCUUAUGUGUGUCAGAGUAGAACUGUGCUCCAAAGGGUUUUCUAUGGCUGACUUUUCUGGAAACAGAUCACCACACUUUUCUUCCUAGGCACCUCUGGGUAAACUUGACCCUCUGACUGUUUGGUUAACACAGAAUGUUUUAACUAUUUGCACCACCCAAGGACUCCAAGGCUUACUAAGACGGAGCCAAAGCCACUCUUUACUAGCAACCAUUUCACCUCACAUCAGUCUUUAAGAGAUUUUAAGAGUUAGAGAUCAAUCCAAGAGAUUCUUUAAAGUAAAUUUAUAGUAGAAGAGAUUUUUUUAUUUUUUAUUUUUUAUGAUCCAUUACUCCAGCCCAAACCCCAGAGGGUCUGUGAGAAGGGGAGACAGGCAUCUUACUCCUUGGCUGGAGCAUUGCUGAGUUACAGACCUCCAAGGCCCUUGGAGAAGAGGACACCAGAAGAGGAAUGUCAUACAUAAGAUAGUUUCCAGUAGAGCCUGACAUGAUCCCACAAGUUGGGGGUGGAUGCAGAUGCUUACGUCCACUUUUUGUGUAGAGAAUUCUAAAGGCCAGAGGUGGCUGUGUAGCCUACGAUGUGAUGGCCCCAUGAAAGAGGACAGCAGCUGCACAAAAUGCACUUCCUCCCUCUAGUGGGGCAAGAGUGCUUGAUGGUGCCCACAGGCCCAGUGGACACUGGGAGGGAUGGGCAACGUGAUCUUCCUAAAGAGACUUCAUCCAGAGGGCUGCUGGCUGGGGUCAGGGGACCCAGCAGUGAGGGGCCGGAUGUGUAUCCCUGGGAAUAGGAGGAAUGCACGUGUGCGUGCCUGUGCACACACACGUGUGUGUGUGUGUGACAAAAGGACCAGUUGGAAGGGUCUGUGUCAGAGAACGGUGUAGUGGUGCAGUGCAGAGAUUCCUGGGUACCCAUGUGCAUGUACACAUGUAUGGGUGUGUUAGGAGGGAAGGUGGAGGGGGGCUCUGAAAACCCCACAAAUGUGGCUUACCAUAGAGUCGGCAUUUGCAUACUUGCUGUAACAGAGCCUAACAGCUAGGAGAGAACUGUGAAUAGCUCUGAUGCUUUUCUCUCUUUUAUCUCUCCUUAUUGUCCCAAUCCUGAAGCAGAGAGGAGUACAUAGUGAGCGGAGCUGGGACAAGGAGAAGAGCCACGUGGAGCAAGCAGAGGAAAGGACACUCCUUCCCCAGGGCUGCCGCACUGCCCGCUGCAAUCUAUGUGAGUGGUGCCUCCUGGAGCUGAGCAGUGCGCCACCUGAGCUGCUGGAUGCCGCCCCUUUUCCUCACUUCCAGUCCCUGAUCUAGCCCCACCUGGAGGGUUGAGGGAAGCGAGGUUGCUGAGGGAAGUGAGGAUGUAGAUUAGGCUGGACAUUUUUAUCCCCCCAAAUUGAGACUGUUCCAAUACACAGAAGUGAGUGUAAAGUUAGGAGAAUCUGCUCAAGAUGUCAACAGGCAAGGAAGGAAGAUCAAUGAACAAUAACGGGGAAAAAGAAAGCUGUUUUCUGACAAUACCAUACUGGAUUCAGUGCUCCCAUAAACCUAAUCUUGUAAAGUAAAAUAAUUCUAGUGAUUUCUAAGAAAAAUUUUCACAAGCCCAAGUUAAUAUAUUUCAUUUCUUUUAGGUGCCCAUUCUUACUGUGCAGGAUCUUGUCCUUUUGAAAGGACAGGAUAUUUACUUGAGUAGAAUGGAAGUAGAAGUCACCUGCAAGCAUUUAUAAAUGGGAAUUAAAACGAUAAAGGAAUAGAGAGAUUUGCCAUUGUCUUUGAGAAAACUCAGGGAGAGAUGUCACAGCCGCCUGACUAGGGACAUUAAAACUGCUAAGGAAAGAAGGUGUCCAUCAGGAGGAAGGCCAGUCGUGGACACACAGAAACAGGGAGUCAGCUAGUCAGAUGUGUUUUAUUGCUUGACUUUUUUUUUAAUGUGGAUGGUAGCUUAUGCGUACAGAAAAGACAAUAUACAGUUAUUUUGCCACUUUGGAAACCCUGGUGGCGUAGUGGUUAAGAGCUACAGCUGCUAACCAAAAGGUCAGCAGUUCGAAUCCACCAGGCGCCCCUUAGAGACUCGAUGGGGCAGUUCUACUCUGCCCUAUACGGUCGCUAUGAGUUGGAAUCGACUGGACAGCAGUGGGUUUGGGUUUUGUUGGUUUUUUGCCACCUUAAUAUUCCAUAUAUUAACGUAAUUUACAAAUGACAUAAUCUUCAUAAACACUUCAAAUACUUGACUGGAUGAACAGAACUUUUAUAAGUCCCUAAACAGCUCCACUAGAACUUAUACCUGAAACUGAUACGUUUUUACCAAUUGCUGUCAAGACGCCUCGGACUAAUGGUGACCACACGUGUGUCAGAGUAGACCUGUGCUCCAUAGGGUCUUCAGUGGCUGAUUUUUGGGAAGUAGAUUGCUGGGACUUUCUUCUAAGGUGCCUCUGGGUAGACUCAAACCCCCAACCUUUCAGUUAGCAGCCAAGCGCAUCAACCGUUUGCACCACCCAGAGACUCCAACUGAUAAGUAGUGACUCAAAGGCUCCUAAACUUACAAACUUUGUCAAGUACCUUUAUAACUUUUAACUUAAAAUUGUAUUACAUCAAUAGGUUGUGCAACUCUUACUUUUAAUCUAUAGAACAAUCCUGAUCAAAAGGAGGGAGGGGACAACAGAAUUUAAAAUUCUCAAUGGAAUCCAGAUGAUUGAGGCAUACAAACACCUGAAACUAUUGCCCUGAGAUCAUCUUUAAACCCUAAACUUCAAACCAAAACUUACCCUGGUGGUCUGCUUUGAACCAAACAACAGUUUAGCUUAAUUAGUAAAGUAUGUUUUCCUUGAGCAUUGAGCUUUUUCAAAGAUUUAUCUAUGUGGGAUCGAACUGACAACAGCAUCUCAAAAGGUUAGGUGAGAAGCUUGGGGGCAGUGAGUUUAUGCUGAUAGUAGUGGAAUAAUUUGGAAAAGUGUAGUGGUGGAAUAAUUUGGAAAAGGUUAGAUGAGAAGCUUAGGGGGCAGUGAGUUUAUGUUGAUGGUGGUGGAAUAAUUUGGAAAAGGACACUGAAGAAUGUAAACAAUGUCACUGAAUUGUACAUGCAGAAUUUGUUGAAAUGCUGUAUCCAUCGCUGUGUAUAUUUUCGGAAACCCUGGUGGUUAAGUGCUACGGCUGCUAACCAAAGCUUCGGCAGUUCAAAUCUGCCAAGCACCCCUUGGAAACUCUACGGGGCAGUUCUACUCUGUCCUAUAGGGUCGUUAUGAGUUGGAAUCGACGUGACGGCACUGGGUUUGGGGUUUUU